AAGACUUUAAGUUAAAUAAACUAAAGGCCUUCAAAGCCUUAAAUGAUGCCUCA
rnacentral:tRNA from 1 species